rnacentral:rRNA from 1 species
UACAGAGGGGGCAAGCGUUGUUCGGAAUUACUGGGCGUAAAGGGCGCGUAGGCGGCCUGUUAAGUCGGACGUGAAAUCCCUCGGCUCAACCGGGGAACUGCGUCCGAUACUGGCGGGCUUGAAUUCGGGAGAGGGAUGUGGAAUUCCAGGUGUAGCGGUGAAAUGCGUAGAUAUCAGGAGGAACACCGGUGGCGAAGGCGGGUCUCUGGGCCGUAACUGACGCUGAGGAGCGAAAGCAUGGGUAGCGAACAGG